rfam:Metarhizium anisopliae BRIP 53293 unplaced genomic scaffold Scaffold_21, whole genome shotgun sequence.
GCCCGGGUAGCUCAAUGGCUAGAGCGUGGGACUUUUAAUCCCAAGGUUGGGGGUUCGAGACCCCCCUCGGGCG